GCCAAAGCUACAAAGAAGAAAAGGCUCAAUUCUAUUUCUCAAGGAUCUUACAAAGAACUGGAUAGGCAGGCACAGUCAAAAAAAGAUGCUCAAAAUUUGCCCACGUUCAUCAUCUCCGGAGAAAACAACUCCUGUGGCUUGAAGCCUUUAAUGGAGCCAGUUCUCCCCCACAGGCUGUCUUCACUUCCAGGGAGGGAGGGUUAUUUACUGCAUGCUUCAUCAUUGACGAUCUGCAUGGAGAGAACACAGGAAUCACAUUCACUUUGAGCCGCUGAGUGGCCUGGACGGGAGCCAUCUGUGUGCACUCUUCCUUUAUCUCGUGUGUGUGUCGGGGGUAGCCAGGAGUGCAUUUUAGAAAGAAAUACUUGGAAAAGUUAAUGAAACAGCACAAAAUGUAAUUCCCAGUUCAAUAUCGAGUUGCCAUUUGUUGUUCAUUUUAGUUUGUAUUUUGUGCGUUUUGCCAAGGACUCACAUAAGCUUUGCUUUUUUUGAAUUAGGAUUAUAAAUCACGUGGAAACUCUGGUGACAUUUAAAAAAAAUUGAACGCAGCACCUGUCUGUUUUAAACAUUAGCAAUGCUGAAAUUGGUUUUCAUAUAACUGUGAGCUAUAAUAACUUUCACCUACUUGGAAUUGGUUUGUAAUUUUGACAUGAACUGAUGAGAGCCAAAAUAUUGUUAAGCUUCCCCCUGCCUUCCAGACCCAGUUUGGAUUUGAGGGAUUCUGGAGAUUUGUGAUUUGAAAGUAAUCAUUGUAAAACACAUCAUCAUUAAUCAAAUUACUGAGACCACAGUGUACAGGGUGUUCCAUUCCCAGCUUUCGGGAAUCAUCCCAUCAAUUCUAAUCUGGCCAUUGUCACUAGGGUAGACAAAGAAUCAAUCAAAUCAACAAGUAUUUAUCCAGAGCUUAGUACGCACUUAGCACAGUUCCAGGGUACUAUUUGGAAGGAGGGUAGGAGAGGGUAGAAGAUGUGUAAGACACAUUCCUUCAUUAUCUGAACAAGCAAGGAGGAAAAUGGCAAUUGUUUCUUCAAAAUGCUGCCUGCCUUGAUCAUUAGCUUUGAAUAGCUGUAUGAUUUCAAGUUGCAAGGUUAGAA
rnacentral:lncRNA from 1 species